UCCCUGGCGGUCCAGUGGUUAAGACUCUGUGCUGCCAAUGCAGGGGGCAUAGGUUCGAUUCCUAGUCAGGGAA